UCAACCAGCUGAGGCCAGUUAAAAAUCAGAGUGUAGGCUGCUCGCUGCUCCUUGGUGACCAACACAAAACUUUAAAAAGAGAAGAAGAGGGGGACAGUGUUUGCAUACUCUCUGAAGAAACCAGCCGUAUGAGUGAGGGGUGUUUUCUGGAAAAGGGAGGCUGCAGCUGUUUUGUUUCUCUUUUGCCUUUCGAUCUGAGCUGUUUGAAGGCCCCUCAUUAAACGUUCACCUGUGAAAAUGACUGACCUGUUUGAGGUGCCAAAUGAAAUAGGGAGAAAAAGCAGAUGCCAUCCAGAGAUGAGGAAUUUGAAGAAGGGGGAGUGAGCAGGAGCGCCCCCGCUGGUAGUUGGUAUGUUGGUGGCAGCAGUGCUGGUGCAGUUGUUGUUGGAGGAGGCACCACCAGAUCACCCUGAACAAACAGGACAGAUAUGUUCAAGUCCAAAUUUCUGAAACAGAAAAUAAUGUCACUUUUUAAAAAAUACACUUUCUUAGUUUCUCCAA